rnacentral:rRNA from 1 species
AUUGAACGCUGGCGGCAUGCCUUACACAUGCAAGUCGAACGGCAGCGGGGGAGAAGCUUGCUUUUCCUGCCGGCGAGUGGCGAACGGGUGAGUAAUACAUCGGAACGUGCCCUGUAGUGGGGGAUAACUAGUCGAACGAUUAGCUAAUACCGCAUACGACCUGAGGGUGAAAGUGGGGGACCGUAAGGCCUCAUGCUAUAGGAGCGGCCGAGGUCUGAUUAGCUAGUUGGUGGGGUAAAGGCCUACCAAGGCGACGAUCAGUAGCUGGUCUGAGAGGACGAUCAGCCACACUGGGACUGAGACACGGCCCAGACUCCUACGGGAGGCAGCAGUGGGGAAUUUUGGACAAUGGGCGAAAGCCUGAUCCAGCAAUGCCGCGUGUGUGAAGAAGGCCUUCGGGUUGUAAAGCACUUUUGUCCGGAAAGAAAUGGCUCUGGUUAAUACCUGGGGUCGAUGACGGUACCGGAAGAAUAAGGACCAGCUAACUACGUGCCAGCAGCCGCGGUAACAC